rnacentral:rRNA from 1 species
AGUGAACGCUGGCGGCAGGCCUAACACAUGCAAGUCGAGCGGCAGCGGGUCCUUCGGGCUGCCGGCGAGCGGCGGACGGGUGAGGAAUGCAUCGGAAUCUGCCCUGUCGUGGGGGAUAACCUAGGGAAACUUAGGCUAAUACCGCAUACGACCCACGGGUGAAAGCGGGGGAUCGCAAGACCUCGCGCGAUAGGAUGAGCCGAUGUCCGAUUAGCUAGUUGGCGGGGUAAAGGCCCACCAAGGCGACGAUCGGUAGCUGGUCUGAGAGGAUGAUCAGCCACACGGGGACUGAGACACGGCCAAGACUCCUAGGGGAGGCAGCAGUGGGGAAUAUUGGACAAGGGGCGCAAGCCUGAUCCAGCCAGGCCGCGUGGGUGAAGAAGGCCUUCGGGUUGUAAAGCCCUUUUGUCCGGGAAGAAAUCGUCUGGGCUAAUACCCCGGGCGGAUGACGGUACCGGAAGAAUAAGCACCGGCUAACUUCG